UUCUUGAUUCAUAUAUAUCAACCUGAAAAAUAAAAUAAAAUUCAUGCUCAAAUCACUGAAAUGGACCAACUUCCAAAAUGGAACAACUUACAGAAAUAAUUAACAAUGUUUGCUCUUGAGAAAUGAGAAAUGCUGAAAGAUGUUUAUCGUAUGUAGUUUGAUAGAUUUGUGAUUUAAACCCACGUUUCUUUUGGAUAUAAAUAAGAGAAAAAAAAAAUACAAGAUUAGAAAGAAAAAAAUUGCAGAAAACAACUAUAUAAGAGAUCACUGAUAUAUUAAAAAGACCCUAGAAGUAAGAUGAACAACACCUCAUGACCUUGAUCCAAUAG
rnacentral:misc_RNA from 1 species